rnacentral:rRNA from 2 species
AGUCGAGCGGAGUGGAUAAGAAGCUUGCUUCUUUGAUACUUAGCGGCGGACGGGUGAGUAACACGUAGGCAACCUGCCCUCAAGUUUGGGACAACUACCGGAAACGGUAGCUAAUACCGAAUAAUUGUUUUCUUCGCCUGAAGGAAACUGGAAAGACGGAGCAAUCUGUCACUUGGGGAUGGGCCUGCGGCGCAUUAGCUAGUUGGUGAGGUAACGGCUCACCAAGGCGACGAUGCGUAGCCGACCUGAGAGGGUGAUCGGCCACACUGGGACUGAGACACGGCCCAGACUCCUACGGGAGGCAGCAGU